rnacentral:rRNA from 1 species
ACGUACACUCCUGCGGGAGGCAGCAGUGGGGAAUUUUGGACAAUGGGCGAAAGCCUGAUCCAGCCAUGCCGCGUGCAGGAUGAAGGCCUUCGGGUUGUAAACUGCUUUUGUACGGAACGAAACGGCCUUUUCUAAUAAAGAGGGCUAAUGACGGUACCGUAAGAAUAAGCACCGGCUAACUACGUGCCAGCAGCCGCGGGAAUACGUAGGGUGCAAGCGUUAAUCGGAAUUACUGGGCGUAAAGCGUGCGCAGGCGGUUAUGUAAGACAGUUGUGAAAUCCCCGGGCUCAACCUGGGAACUGCGUCUGUGACUGCAUAGCUAGAGUACGGUAGAGGGGGAUGGAAUUCCGCGUGUAGCAGUGAAAUGCGUAGAUAUGCGGAGGAACACCGAUGGCGAAGGCAAUCCCCUGGACCUGUACUGACGCUCAUGCACGAAAGCGUGGGGAGCAAACAGGAUUAGAAACCCGAGUAGUCCCAUG